GAUGAAGAACGUAGCGAAAUGCGAUAAGUAAUGUGAAUUGCAGAAUCCAGUGAAUCAUCGAAUCUUUGAACGCACAUUGCGCCCGCCAGCAUUCUGGCGGGCAUGCCUGUUCGAGCGUCAUUUCAACCCUCGAGCCCCCCCGGGGGCCUCGGUGUUGGGGGACGGCACACCAGCCGCCCCCGAAAUGCAGUGGCGACCCCGCCGCAGCCUCCCCUGCGUAGUAGCACACACCUCGCACCGGAGCGCGGAGGCGGUCACGCCGUAAAACGCCCAACUUUCUUAGAGUUGACCUCGGAUCAGGUAGGAAUACCCGCUGAACUUAAGCAUAUCAAUAAGCGGAGGA
rnacentral:misc_RNA from 1 species